UGGGGAAUUUUGGACAAUGGGCGAAAGCCUGAUCCAGCAAUGCCGCGUGUGUGAAGAAGGCCUUCGGGUUGUAAAGCACUUUUGUCCGGAAAGAAAUCCUUGGCUCUAAUACAGUCGGGGGAUGACGGUACCGGAAGAAUAAGCACCGGCUAACUACGUGCCAGCAGCCGCGGUAAUACGUAGGGUGCAAGCGUUAAUCGGAAUUACUGGGCGUAAAGCGUGCGCAGGCGGUUUGCUAAGACCGAUGUGAAAUCCCCGGGCUCAACCUGGGAACUGCAUUGGUGACUGGCAGGCUAGAGUAUGGCAGAGGGGGGUAGAAUUCCACGUGUAGCAGUGAAAUGCGUAGAGAUGUGGAGGAAUACCGAUGGCGAAGGCAGCCCCCUGGGCCAAUACUGACGCUCAUGCACGAAAGCGUGGGGAGCAAACAGGAUUAGAUACCCUGGUAGUCCACGCCCUAAACGAUGUCAACUAGUUGUUGGGGAUUCAUUUCCUUAGUAACGUAGCUAACGCGUGAAGUUGACCGCCUGGGGAGUACGGUCGCAAGAUUAAACUUAAAGGAAUUGACGGGGUCAUAGCUGUUUCCU
rnacentral:rRNA from 1 species